rnacentral:rRNA from 1 species
GAUGAACGCUAGCGGCAGGCCUAACACAUGCAAGUCGAGGGGUAGAAGGAGCUUGCUCCUUUGAGACCGGCGCACGGGUGCGUAACGCGUAUGCAAUCUACCUUGUACAGGGGAAUAGCCCAGAGAAAUUUGGAUUAAUGCCCCAUAGUAUAUAACCUUCGCAUGUUGGUUAUAUUAAAGUUCCAACGGUACAAGAUGAGCAUGCGUCCCAUUAGUUAGUUGGUAAGGUAACGGCUUACCAAGACGAUGAUGGGUAGGGGUCCUGAGAGGGAGAUCCCCCACACUGGUACUGAGACACGGACCAGACUCCUACGGGAGGCAGCAGUGAGGAAUAUUGGUCAAUGGUCGCAAGACUGAACCAGCCAUGCCGCGUGCAGGAAGACGGUCCUAUGGAUUGUAACUGCUUUUAUACAGGAAGAAACCCUCCCACGUGUGGGAGCUUGACGGUACUGUAGGAAUAAGGAUCGGCUAACUCCGUG